rnacentral:rRNA from 1 species
AACGAACGCUGGCGGCAGGCCUAACACAUGCAAGUCGAGCGAACCCUUCGGGGUUAGCGGCGGACGGGUUAGUAACGCGUGGGAAUAUACCCUUUGGUACGGAAUAGCCUCGGGAAACUGAGAGUAAUACCGUAUGUGCCCUUCGGGGGAAAGAUUUAUCGCCAAAGGAUUAGCCCGCGUUGGAUUAGGUAGUUGGUGGGGUAAUGGCCUACCAAGCCUACGAUCCAUAGCUGGUUUGAGAGGAUGAUCAGCAACACUGGGACUGAGACACGGCCCAGACUCCUACGGGAGGCAGCAGUGGGGAAUCUUAGACAAUGGGCGCAAGCCUGAUCUAGCCAUACCGCGUGGACGAUGAAGGCCUUAGGGUUGUAAAGUCCUUUCAGAUGGGAAGAUAAUGACGGUACCAUCAGAAGAAGCCCCGGCUAACUCCGUGCCAGCAGCCGCGGUAAAGU